AUGAAGGAUCUAGGAGUAGCUGAUGUUAUCUUAAACAUCAAGCUGUUGAGAGAUGAGAAUGGUGGGAUCACACUACUUCAGUCUCACUAUGUGGAAAAGGUCUUGAGUUGUUUUGGGUAUAGCGACUGCACGCCUUCUCCAACUCCAUAUGAUGCUAGUGUGUUGCUUCGAAAGAAUCGACAGAUUGCUAGAGAUCAACUGAGGUAUUCUCAGAUUAUUGGCUCGCUUAUGUAUUUGGCGAGUGCCACGAGGCCUGACAUCUCUUUUGCUGUGAGCAAGCUGAGUCGGUUUGUGUCAAAACCGGGAGAUGAUCAUUGGCGUGCGCUUGAGAGAGUUAUGGGCUACUUGAAGGGCACUGCAAGCUAUGGGAUUCACUACGCCGGGUAUCCAAGGGUACUGGAGGGUUAUAUUGACUCGAAUUGGAUAUCUGAUGUUGAUGAGAUUAAGGCCACAAGUGGUUAUGUUUUUACACUUGGUGGUGGCACUGUUUCCUGGAAGUCUUGCAAGCAGACCUUCUUAACGAGGUCAACUAUGGAAGCAGAACUCACAGCAUUAGACACUGCCACUGUUGAAGCAGAGUGGCUUCAUGAGCUAUUGAUGGACUUACCUGUGGUUGAAAAACCAAUACCCCCUAUCCUGAUGAACUGUGAUAAUCAAACUGUGAUCAUCAAGAUAAACAGUUCUAAGGACAAUAUGAAGUCCUCAAGGCAAGUGAAGAGGAGAUUAAAAUCUGUCAGGAAACUGAGGAACUCUAGAGUUAUUACGUUGGAUUAUAUCCAAACGUCGAAAAACUUGGCAGAUCCCUUCACUGAGGGUCUAUCACGUAAUGUGAUAGAUAAUGCAUCGAUGGAGAUGGGUUUGAGACCCACCGCAUGA
rnacentral:rRNA from 1 species